rnacentral:sRNA from 1 species
GUACCCCAUGAUGUCAGGUCCGCCGCAUCUCCUGGGUCGUGGGGUUUGUCGACUGAUCUGUGACCAACGCGGUUCCUCGUGCCGCGGUUUCGAUCAGUCGACACCCAU